rnacentral:rRNA from 1 species
AGUCACUGACAUUAGACUACCCGUGUAGUCCAGGGUGUAAACGCUGCAGACUUGGUGGUUGGGAACCCGUUCGGGGGUGCUCAGUGCCGGAGAGAAGUUGUUAAGUCUGCUACGUUGGGGAGUACGUCCGCAAAGGAUAGAAAACUUAAAAGGAAUUGGGCGGGGGAGCACCGCAACGGGAGGAGCGUGCGGUUUAAUUGGAUUCAACGACCGAAAAACUCACCAGCAGCGACUGUUACAUGAAAGUCAGGUUGAUGACCUUACUAGAUUUUCAG